UUUGACCUCAAAUCAGGUAGGACU
rnacentral:ncRNA from 3 species